AUACUUACCUGGCAGGAGACAUACCAUGAUCACAAAGGUGGUUUUCCCAGGGCGAGGCUUAGCUAUUGCACUCCAGAUGUGCUGGCCCCUGUGAUUCCCCCAAAUGUGAGAAACUCAACUACAUAAUUUGUAGUAGUGGGGACUGCAUUUGCGUUCUUUCCUG